rnacentral:rRNA from 1 species
UCCGGCGAUGGUUCAUUCAAAUUCUGCCCUAUCAAGUUUCGAUGGUAGGAUAGAGGCCUACCAUGCUUUGUUUACGGGUAACGGCGAAUUAGGGUUCGAUUCCGGAGAGGGAGCCUGAGAAACGGCUACACAUCUAAGGAAGGCAGCAGGCGCGCAAAAUUACCAAUCCUGAUUCAGGGAGGUAGUGACAAUAAAUAACAAUCCAGGACUUCGGUCUUGGAAUUGGAAUGAGAACAAUUUAAAUCUCUUAUCGAGGAACAAUUGGAGGGCAAGUCUUGGUGCCAGCAAGGCCGGGUAAAUUCCAGCUCCAAUAGCGUAUAUUAAAGUUGUUGCAGUUAAAAUUAGGCUCGGUUAGUUUGGAAAUCUUUGGGGGCCUGGUUUUGGGCGGUCGCGUCUUUGA